GUGAUGUGGUCAUGUAGACAUGUACUGAUGCGAAACGUGUUUGUUUUCCUGAAUCAAAACUAUCGUAGUUUCUGACACUGAAAAUUCAACAGUUGUUUUUUUAUGAGUAUUGUAAUUUGACCCCUCAUCCUAAAAUGAGUAAAUGACGAGAAUAAUUGUAAAAAAAUCUUCCUCCCUCGAUGUCAGUACAAAACUAAAAGAAACUUUCAGUCAAAAAAGACAAGUUACAGACAUUCAACUGAAAUAUGACAAAGAUGGAAAAUGUUGACAUUUUGGCUUUGUUGGCUUCAAGAAUGAUUAUGAAGCAGAUUCAGCCUUGAGUUAUUUAACACAUUUGUAGAAUCCUGUAAAAUUCAGGUUGAAAGAUGUGUCAAUUCAGGAAAUAGUUAUCAAAUGAAAACAGGAAAAAAAAAAGCCCUGGAAGCUAUUCCUGUCCAACUUCUUACACAGAGAGUGAAUCCAGUAAAAGGGGACACCAAUAAAACACCAGUAGAUCCAGAAUUUGCAGAAUUUCGGGAAAUACAUUCACAUAUUUCAUUU